rnacentral:rRNA from 1 species
CCUACGGGAGGCUGCAGUAAGGGAUAUUGGUCAAUGGGGGAAACCCUGAACCAGCAACGUCGCGUGAGGGAAGACGGUUCUCGGAUUGUAAACCUCCGUUUUCUGUGAAGUUGAUGACGGUAGCAGAGGAGGAAGCUCCGGCUCACUACGUGCCAGCAGCCGCGGUAAUACGUCGGGAGCGCGCGUUGUCCGGAUUUACUGGGUGUAAAGGGUGCGUAGGCGGGUUGGCAAGUCAGUAGUGAAAUCCAUGGGCUUAACCCAAAAACUGCUAUUGAAACUGUCGAGCUUGAGUGAAGUAGAGGUAGGCGGAAUGCGCGGUGUAGCGGUGAAAUGCGUAGAGAUCAGGAAGAACACCAGUGGCGAAGGCGGCCUACUGGGCUUUAACUGACGCUGAGGCACGAAAGCGUGGGUAGCAAACAGGAUUAGAUACCCGGGUAGUC